GGGCUUGUGGUCUAGUGGUAUGAUUCUUCCUUAGCAUUCGGUCCCCUGUUGUGGAUGACGAUGAAGCCCUGUGCUCCAUCACGAAGCUUGGAAGAGGUCCGGGGUUCAAUUCCCCGCGAGUCCA